UGCCACUUUGGAAUGAGAUGCGAGCAUUCUUAUAGAAGCCCUUGAUUUUGAGAAGGUUCGUAGCCUUGCUAACGUCAACCUUUACCUAUGUGCCUAGUGACUGGUACUAACCAAGUACAGUCUUAAUAUAGUCUUGAAAGUAAAUUAGUUAUACUUCUCAUUGCCAAUAUCAUAAGAGAAAAAGAGAUCUUGCGAAUUGAUUCAAUAUUUUACACCAAUGUAUCGUACUCUCUCGACCCAGCAUUUCCUAUUGAUUUGUCCCCUGGAGUGGACCUAAAAUGAUUCAGAAUUAACCAAGUGAAUGCUUGAGUUUAGUUUAGCCCCGUCCUUUCCACUCCGGCCGAAGUCGGCCUUCGGUCCCCCCACUUUUCUCGAAGGAAGCGGAAGUCGGUUUGAACUUCCCGAAAGUAGGGGCUUUUGAAGGGAGGAAGAAAGCGACUUCUUAUCAAACCCGCUACUCACCCAGUGCGUGAAGCUUCAAGUUCACCCAACUCCUACUUAACGGGGCGUAGAACUUGCGCUUUCAAGACGAGGUCUCACCGAGCAUUCAACUGAAUUAAGCAUAAGCCAAUGAAAGAUAGAGGAAAUCUUAGGUCUUGGGCCAUGCAAUGUAGCGAGGGCUUGUCAGUAUUGGUAGGUGACAUAUAGCUCGUAGCAUUCUUUUUUCAAUCAGGUUCCACUGUGCAUACCGAGCUUGUACCCAAUCGGAUUAUUCCAUGACUACACGUAGGGACCAUAUGCAAAGGAUAAGAUCAUAUUGUAACCCCUUUUCAUAAGCUCAAGCUCAAAAUACGACUUACUUUAGCAAUGAUAAGACCAUUACAUCUACGUCUCAGCUAUGGAAGUUCCGCUCGGGUAAGGCUACCGGUUGCAAAGGAAUGAAAAAGCUAAAUAGAAGAUGAAAGUGUCCCCAAGGUUGCUGGUACCAAAUCCUACUCUUUUUCAGGCAGAAGCAGGUGGCAUGCAUGUGGAAGCAAGGAAAGGUGUAGCAGCAAAAAGAAGAGAUUCUCAAACCUUAGCGCCUAGCGCCAUUCCCACGGGUUUAACGACUAGUUUAAUUUCUGCAACAUGUUUCGAAAAGAACUCAACUUUUUUGGUUUUGGAAAAUGUUUAAGAGUCCAUCCAUUCUCCGAAAAGCUAAAGCUACCGGUUGCAGCUGUUACAGCUGUAGUGGCUGGUGUAGCCAGCUUGUGAUGACAUAGGUUUUCGGGGGUAGCGGCUGGUUACAUUUAUUUGGAAGAGAGUUCCAUUACUGCAGGUUUAAAAGAAACUUUUGAAGAGGUUAGAAAUAGCAAAUCUGCAAGAAAGGAGAGAUCAAGACAAGAAAAAUAUUAUCCGUAGAAAAACAAAUUCCAAGAAUCUCCUCUAAUAUGGAUCGGUCGAGCUACUUCUCUUAGGUUUAAAUUCAACCAAUAGGGUUCAGAGAGAGCUCC
rnacentral:lncRNA from 1 species